rnacentral:rRNA from 1 species
AAUUAAAAUAUUUAAGUAGUAAUAGUUAUGUUCUUGAAACUUAAAAAAUUUGGCGGUAUUUUAGUCUAUCCAGAGGAACCUGUUUUGUAAUCGAUAAUCCACGAUGGACCUUACUUAAGUUUGUAAUCAGUUUAUAUACCGUCGUUAUCAGAAUAUUUUAUAAGAAUAUUAAUAUUCAAUAAUUUUUAUUAGAAUUUAUAUCAGAUCAAGGUGUAGCUUAUACUUAUGUAAUAAUGGGUUACAAUAAAUUUAUUUAUACGAAUAAAAUUAUGAAAAAGUUUUUGAAGGUGGAUUUGGUUGUAAAAUUAUAAAGAUUAAUAAUUUGAUUUUAGCUCUAAAAUAUGUACACAUCGCCCGUCGCUCUUAUUAUUAAGGUAAGAUAAGUCGUAACAUAGUAGAUGUACUGGAAAGUGGAUCUAGAAUGA